rnacentral:RNase_P_RNA from 1 species
GUAGUCAAUCGGUCUGUCGCUUUUUAGUUAAAAAAAGAGGAAAGUCCGGACAACACAGAGUACCCUACUAUCUAACGGAUAGCUGUUUGUGAGAGCAGAGUUAAGUAGAAGAAAAGAACCGCCUUUUUCGGAAGGUAAGGGUGAGAAGGUGAGGUAAGAGCUUACCGGUUCUUAUAGCAAUAUAGGAAGCCGUACAACUUAGGGGUUGCAAGAUCAUGUACACCGGCGCAGGUAGGAUGACUCGUCCGAUGCCGGGGGGUAGAUUGCUUGAAUUUAAUGGCGACAUUAAGUCUAGAUAAAUGACAGACAAAUACAGAAUCCGGCUUACAGAUUGACUACUUUU